rnacentral:lncRNA from 10 species
GAAAUAGUCUGUUUUUUGAAUAAGUUAUCACGUAUUGGAAGUGUGCAAGUAGAACCUACACAAAUUGCGUUGACAUAGAGAGUGGUAAGACAUUACUUUUUUCUUGCAGCGGAUGGGGAGGCAAGAAGUGGCGGGCCAUAAGAAGCUAUGUGAAGAAACAUCAAAAGUAAAAUAUGACACAAAUGAUGAAAGAGCACAAACAUUUUAGUUAGUUUGGCUAGAAUAUCUAAUAAAUAUAUGUCAACAUAUCAUGAAAACAACAUAUUUGGAAUUAAUAAGAUGAAGGUGAAAAUUUACGAUUUCAAGAUAUUCUUAGAAGAUAUCUGGUCUACUUUUUUGAGAGUCAACUUUUGUUGGGAAGAAAGCAAGUGGAAAUAUGGUUGCUGCCUAAGAAGUAAUAAUAGGAGAUACAAGAAACAGCUUGAAAUGGAAUAGGAAAAGUCUCUGUGGUAGAGCAAUUUGAAUGAAAAGAAGAAUAAACAGGUGUCCAACGAUAAGAUUUCCAAGAUAGGAAGAAAGAGAGGGUUCAGAAAGAAGGUGAGUAAAUGAAAUGUUGGUAUACUUUAUGCUCAGGAUAACAACUAGUUGGGUUUAUUCUAUUUUUUGCAUUUGCUUCUUAUCUAUUAUUUUAAUUUACAAAACUCUUGUGGUACCAAGUCUGCUUUCCAAGGCAUACACACACUAGUGAAAUGGAAUGACCAGUUUAUGUAACUUCCUUUCCAUUCUAUGACAUAAGUACCAACCAAAUGUUUUCCCAGGGUGUUGAAAAAGUGCAAACAAUUUUCUAAAGAUUUGCACUUUCCUUCAUCCGAGGUGGUGAAAAAUACAAAACCUAUUUGCAGAAGGAUUGAGAAUAUCUGAGCUUUUUGGAUAUUUUCUUUUCUGAGACUUGUUUUAAAUUCAGGUCAGAAAAGCUAGUGUAAUAUUGGAAUUGAAAAGAGCAACAGUGUUUUGACACUGUAUAUCUUGGCAUAAACCUUGCAUCAUUCACAGUAUGAGAUGUCAUGAAACUCAAUUCAGCAUAACAUAAAAUCAAAUGGGUUAAAGGAGUUCAAAUAGCAGACAUCCAGGUGUCUUCGCGGUCCAGCAUCUAGUAAUAGGAGGAGGUUGAGACAGAAUAAUAUCAUACCAUUUAUUAUUCAGCAUUUAAUGUGUACCCGCUAUGUGCCAAGGGCUGUGUCAGGACAUGAAAAUUAAUUUUAAAAACUCUUACUUUUGAAAGGGGAAUGAUCUGAAAACUAGCAUUUAUUGAAAACUCAA